rnacentral:rRNA from 1 species
AGUGAACGCUGGCGGUAGGCCUAACACAUGCAAGUCGAACGGCAGCACAGAGGAGCUUGCUCCUUGGGUGGCGAGUGGCGGACGGGUGAGGAAUACAUCGGAAUCUACUCUGUCGUGGGGGAUAACGUAGGGAAACUUACGCUAAUACCGCAUACGACCUACGGGUGAAAGCAGGGGACCUUCGGGCCUUGCGCGAUUGAAUGAGCCGAUGUCGGAUUAGCUAGUUGGCGGGGGAAAGGCCCACCAAGGCGACGAUCCGUAGCUGGUCUGAGAGGAUGAUCCGCAACACUGGAACUGAGACACGGUACAGACUCCUACGGGAGGCAGCAGUGGGGAAUAUUGGACAAUGGGCGCAAGCCUGAUCCAGCCAUACCGCGUGGGUGAAGAAGGCCUUCGGGUUGUAAAGCCCUUUUGUUGGGAAAGAAAUCCAGCUGGCUAAUACCCGGUUGGGAUGACGGUACCCAAAGAAUAAGCACCGGCUAACUUCGUGCCAGCCGCCGCCGUAA